CCCGAGUACACAAGAGCAGUAACAAGGAGCUCACGGUGCUAGGUUUAAAAAAAGGAGCUCACCGUGCUUCCCGACACACCAAGUUCCAAGUGUCUUGUUGUCAACCUGCUUGCCCCAAAGGCCACCGCCACAACAUUGCCGCCGUUGUUCAGGAGUCUAACGUGAUUGGGAGGGACCAUACCAGUAAUGCCGCAUGAUGAUGAAGACGAACAUGUGUUCCUCGCGGAUGCCUCUGCCCUGGUACACAAGAGCAGCAACAUGAAGCGCACACUGCUAGGUUUCAAAAGGAAGGAGCUCACGGUGCUUCCUGACACACCAAGGUAUUAUCACCGGUAACAACUGGAUAAAGUCGGUUUGCUAGAUGAA